AAAUGUUUGUUCUCAAAUAUUAUAGUUACAGAAAUAUUAAUGUUAUAUUUUAUUGCUGACAGUUAGAAACAUGAUAAGAUGCACACUAGCAUUUGUUCUUUUUCAACUAUUUUGAAGCUGAUAUGUCUUGGAUACUCCUAAGCAUGCAAAACAGUCUCAUGAGGGAGAAAAAAAGUUUCAUAUAGAUUUAUGCUAUGAGCCUGCUCACCCCUAAUACUACAGAUAAGAGCAGGUUAUUUUUUUAAAGACAUUCUUUUCACUCUGUGUGAUGAUAUAGAGUUCAGACUGAGUGGGUUGAACAUUAAAUAAUAACUAAAGCCUAUUCAUAUUUUUAACUGGUUUUGCUCCUUACAAUUUCACUUUUGAUUCUUGCCAGCAGAAACUUCCAUUAUAUGUAUAAAACACACCUCAGAAACCGAUGCCCCUGAGCUAAGCCUGAAGGAAAGGUGUCUAUAGAAAACAGAGUUCUAUUUUCAGUUCUCUUUUCUUGGUGUUCUGCAUCAGACCUUCCCACAGGAAUCUACCUGCCAGGUUAAACACUGGAAGCUCAGGAAACUGCUUUAUUUCAGUGACAGCUGGUAGCUGCUGUGUCAAUGGGCAAUGUUGUAACCUGCCUCAAGCCGUGAGGAGAGGCAGAUGCACAUAUUUGCAUAUUCGCAAGAAGAAGAAGAAGAAGAAGAAGAAGAAGAAGAAGAAGAAGAAGUUGUUUUCUUUAUAUCCCACCCAUCUCCCCAAAGGGACCUUUGUUUUCCCUUCAUUCUGAUUGCCUACUUACAUUUCUAUAAAGUGAGCCAGCAACAGAGAAGGGAGAGCCUGAGCUGUUGUUCCAGUACAUUAUGACCCAUUUGUCUCUCCAAAACUUUCUCUCGAUAUGACUUCUGGCUCCUGGUUUGGCUGUGCUCCUUCCAAGGUGACACUGUUCUCUGCAAAGUAUCUGCAAUACCAGGUCUGAUUCUAUUUUAAAAAAGGAGAAGGAGAUGGCCCAGCUAAUAGUACUUUAAUGUCUACUGUGUGUGUGUGUGUGUGUGUAUGUGCAUGUGCAUGCACCUUCAAAUUAACUUUGACUUUUCAUACAUUUUACUUAAGUACGGAAAAAGGUAAUGCUGUUUUCUCUCAUUAACUUAUGAAUGUAAUGUUAUUUAGUUAUUCCCUUGAAACUGAGGAACUCAUCACAGAUAACUAGUAAUUUGUAAUUAGUUGGUCCCAAAUUCUGUGGAAUUUCUCAUCAAACUCUUCAUAAAAUAGUAACUCAAUGUGUAGAAAACAUACUUUGGCUGGAAAGAUAUUUCUGCGUUAUAAUUAUGUGUGAUUUAAAACAUGCAACAAAAUAUAAUGAAAUACCUGUCUUUUCUAUAAGGCACCCCAGCUUCUCCACACACAAUUUUACCCUCAGCUUAUCAAUUACUCUCCAACAUAAACUACCAAGUUACACUUAUGUCAUGGUUGCAUCAUGUGAAAUC
rnacentral:lncRNA from 11 species